GAUUGCAUGGAAAAAUUCAGUUUAGGGUUUAAAACCCUAAUGCUGGCUGGAAGAAAAAGUUCAGUUUAGGGUUUAAAACCCUAAUGCUGACUAAAAGGAAAAGUUCAGUUUAGGGUUUAAAACCCUAAUGCUGACUAAAAGGAAAAUUCAGUUUAGGGUUUAAAACCCUAAUGCUGAUUGCAUGAAAAAGCUCAGUUUAGAGUUUAAAACUCUAAUGCUGGCUGAAAGGAAAAAGUUCAGUUUAGGGUUUAAAACCCUAAUGCUGAUUGCAUGGAAAAGCUCAGUUUAGAGUUUAAAACUCUAAUGCUGGCUGAAAGGAAAAUUCAGUUUAGGGUUUAAAACUCUAAUGCUGAUUGCAUGGAAAAGCUCAGUUUAGAGUUUAAAACUCUAAUGCUGGCUGAAGGGAAAAUGUUCAGUUUAGGGUUUAAAACCCUAAGGCUGACUACAUGGAAAAAGAUCAGUUUAGAGUUUAAAACUCUAAUGCUGGCUGAAAGGAAAAUUCGGUUUAGGGUUUAAAACCCUAAUGCUGAUUGCAUGGAAAGAUUAUGUUUAGGGUUUAAAACCCUAAUGCUGGCUGAAAGGAAAAUUCAGUUUAGGGUUUAAAACCCUAAUGCUGAUUGCAUGAAAAAGCUCAGUUUAGAGUUUAAAACUCCAAUGCUGGCUGAAAGGAAAAUUCAGUUUAGGGUUUAAAACCCUAAUGCCGAUUGCAUGCAAAAGCUCAGUUUAGAGUUUAAAACUCCAAUGCUGGCUGAAAGGAAAAUUCAAUUUAGGGUUUUAAAACCCUAAUGCUGAUUGCAUGAAAAAGCUCAGUUUAGAGUUUAAAACUCUAAUGCUGGCUGACAGGAAAAAGUUCAGUUUAGGGUUUAAAACCCUAAUGCUGAUUAAAAGGAAAAUUCAGUUUAGGGUUUAAAACCCUAAUGCUGAUUGCAUGAAAAAGCUCAGUUUAGAGUUUAAAACUCCAAUGCUGGCUGAAUGGAAAAUUCAGUUUAGGGUUUAAAACCCUAAUGCUGAUUGCAUGGAAAAGCUCAGUUUAGAGUUUUAAACUCUAAUGCUGGCU
rnacentral:lncRNA from 1 species